AAGAAACACCCAGCAGCGUUGCAGUUCUUGACACAAACCGCAAAUGAACCUCCUGAGAGGACUGCUAUACUCUUACGGACAUGAUGGCAGUACUCAAGAUGGACGUUGUAGUCAGAUGCCCUACUGUUUACAAUGCUUUUGAAAAGACUGGAGAACAGUUCUUCUACCAGUGUAGUAGUGACAAAUUGUAGUGGUAGGGAUUACCUCUUGGAAAUUGUAAAUUUUUUAGGUAUGAACAGUCUUAAAAUGACCUGGGGCCUGUGUGACCCUGGCCUUGCUAUCACUGGCUGUGCUUUCUAUGCCUAUCAGCUGGUGUUUUCAGAGGACUUGUAAAUGUUGCUAUAUGGCUUGAAAGGCUUUGAGAUGAGAGAGGAAGCCAGUUCUAUUUCUCCCUCUCAACAACCCAUAUGAAAACGGAAUAAUCAGGGAGCCCUGAUUUGUAUCAUAUCCAGGUAUGACUGACUGAUUACGCUGGGGUAUCUGGUUGUUGAAAAAAAAUGCAUGCCAUUUAUGUUGUUCUAGAACAACCACAUUAAUGAAGUUAUCUCCUGCAUGUACUGUAUGGGUUAUAUUUGAAGUGGUGGACCGUAGGGCAGUUUGGGCAAAUGCCAGAUGGCCUGGUCUGUUUUUUUGCCAAUGGCGCCUGUCAAUGUAGUGCAAAAUUGUUAUUUGGCUAGUAAUGAGGGCCUUGAGGAAAGAAAUUGGCCAGGAUGGGGGCAUUGAACGAAAUGGGCCGGUGUGUUAAAUGCCUGGGCUGAUGUCUGGUACCAAUCUUUUGCUGUUUGAAAAGUUGUGGGUAAAAUAUUUACAUGAGCUGCUGGUAGAGUUUCCAAUGGCCUGACUGUUCCCUGUUUUAGUAAUUAAGAUCUCUUUUAGAGCCAUCUUGCAGAUUGAGGCGUUUGCUGAUGCCCGAAGUCAUCUAAAAACCAUGUAAAAAGAAUGUGGGAAGUUUUAACCAUGCUAACUUGUUUCUCAGCCUAUAACAUGGCUACUGACAAGUGCAAGAUUAUGCAUUUCAAUAGGCAGUGGGCCUGUAUUUGAUCAAACUGCUUCCUGACAUUUAAUAUUGGCAUUGGCUCUGUGAAAUGCACAGAACCUGGUUGACUGCUUAUAUUGAAUGUCAGUCAAUGCCAUGCAGGGAUUAUGACUAAUUAUUGACAUAUCAGGUUUAUCAUCUUGAGCAAUAAAUAUUGUCUGAAUAACCA